CAGAGUCCAGAGUCCACAUCGGUUCAGUGUUGCUUCCUUUGGAGUGGUGGUGUUCCUGUGCUGAUCUGUGCGGUCCUUGUUAUAGUUUAUAGAUGUUUAUGGAAGGCGUCACUUGGAGUGUAAUUCUCUGCCUGGUCUAAAGUCCAACACCAUCAGAAGUAUAAACCCUCCCGCUGCAGUCACAUCCUGAGGUUUGCAGCUUCUCCUUCUUGUGACGAACUUCAUUCCACAUCAGACACCACCAGCAGCAACAGAAAACCUCCUCCUCCUCUUCCUCCUCUUCCUCCUCAGUGUGGACACAGUGAAUCUGAAGACAUCAUGGGGAAUUCACCGUCUUCAUCAGUCCCUGACUCCUCACGCCGUGGUGGAUCUGUGGUGAAAACCAGAUCAGGACAUAAAGCCAUUCGUAAAGGAGUAGCUGCUGCCACGCGCAGUCGUGUUGCAGCGUAUGAAGCUAUCGAUCGUUCCAGAACACCCCCUCCGUGUUUUUGAAGGACUCAAAACUGGAUGUGGAGCCAGCUCGGCAUCGUCUGGAUCCAGCAGCACAUCCAUGAGGAGGAUCAGAACAAAGUGUUUAUGCUGUGUGAUCAAACAGGGAUAAUCUGGGAUUCCUCUGUAUUUAAUCUGUGAAAUCUGAUCUAAAUGUUUCUCUGAUGUGAUAAACGUGGUGUCAGAGAAAAGCCUUUUCUUGCCUGUGUAAUCACUGUUAAAAGUAACGCUGUGUUUCAAAUGUUUUGAGGUAGCAGAGUAUAAACUGAUUGUUUCUACCUGUUAAUCUCUGAUAUGAGAGCUCCCCCUGGUGGUCAUUUAAUCAAGACUAAAUCAGAACAAUAACAUACAGUCAGUCGUUUGUGUCAUUGAUCAGUUUUAGUCUCAUAAAGUGAUUUAAUCCUACUGCUGUUAUUAUUACUAUUAAUUGUUACAGUCAAAUAUUCAUUUAUUAGGGGUUAACAGGUCAGCUGCUGGCUGCUUCCAUUGAAAGGAUGAUGAUUAUAAAGUUAAAUAACUGUUAUCAAGUAUGUUUAUUCUUUUAAAAAUGAAGACGUAGGAAACAAAUGAGAGCAAAUCUUAUGUGAUCACAUCAACAAUGCUCAGAAAAAUGACACAGCUGGUUUGCUGUAUUGUAAACUGUACACCUUAAAUAAAGUUUAACAAUGGAAAUAAAAAU
rnacentral:lncRNA from 1 species